UGCGGUCUUGUGGAAGAGUGAAACGGCUGAGUGAGGCAGUCUCGGUGAAAAAUGAACAUCGCAUACCGUGUUGGGAAAACUAACAUGGCUAUGUAAACCCUACCGUCUCAGGGAAAGGGAAAUUGGCUGU
rnacentral:ribozyme from 1 species